UUGAUAUUUAAAUGACUACAUGACUAUAUACUGAUACAUUGCUAGUGAACGAUAUAGUUGUUAAUGAUUUAGAAGAAAUCGACGCAUUCAACUUGAACAUUCUAAGUGAUGAAGACUAUGAUUUGCCAUAUGCAUUACCAAAACACCAUCGAUGUUGUGCACACACAAUAAAUUUAAUAGCAACAAUGGUCUCUAAAAAAAGCUUUGUCGAAUAUUGCAUACAAAAAACAGUCAAGAAGCACUUUUGCCAAGUCUACCGCUUUGUGGAACAAAGAAGGUCGCUUAACUAAGUCACCUGAUUUACUUAAACAAAAUCUUGGUGUUUAUUUAAUUACACCCAACAAGACACGUUGGAAUUCACUGUGUGGUGCAGUGGUGCUGCUUAAUAAAUUAAUUAAAAAUAAUGAACUUUAGUUUAGAUUAAUAAUGGACAAAUUGACUAUUGACAGAUUUAAUAGAAGUGAUAUUUAUUUCAUGUGUCAAUAUCAUACAAUUGUGGGGCCAAUUUCAAUAAGCUUGGAUUUACUCCAGGGUGAUACUAACAUGUACUUUGGUCAUCUCCUACCUACAAUUGAAGGAUUAAUUUAUAAAUAUGAAUUAAUGACAAGUGAUCAAACAGUUUCUAAUUACAGUGGAUUCUGCUUGAUGUGGCUACCGGUUAAUAUGGGCAUCCGCUUAUUGUGGUCAAACAUGUCUGGUCCUUAUACAAAUGUAUACCGACGAUGUUAAAUAAAACCGCUUAAUAUGGACACUCGAUUCAGUUUAUGUGGGCAGUUUUAUUUUAUCAUAGCGUUAGAAUACACACAUAUGUAUUCAAAAAGGACUAAUUUAAUCGAGUUUCGUCGAUGGUUUCGUAUCUAUGAGAUUUUUUUCAUUCUCGGCAACUAGGCCAUUGGUUGUGUCGUUCAGAUGGUUAAAUGAGUUUGUUCAAUUCUGUCACCUGGAGGAACACGAAUAUGUAAGGUGAUGGCAGGACUGGUCCAAGUAUGUCAUAUAAGUCACCGAAUAAAUGUUCCGGUUCCUUGCAUCGAGGUAUGAAAACAAAGAUUAUUUGAUAGACAAAUUUUUAAUUACUGCUGCAGUCUGCCACCCACUAUUUAAAAAAGUAUGGAUUAAAAUUGUUAUAAAAAACAAUUGGCCUCAGAAUAUUUAAAAAGUGCCUGUUAUGACUUAUAUACCAAUGAUAAUGACAACAAUGAUGUAGAAGAUAACCAAAUGAAAGAUAAUUUAUCUACCUUUUUUACCUGGUCACUAAAUUCCCGAGAGGAAAAAUCAACAGUUAGUGAUGAAAUAGAUGGAUUUUUGGGCACAUCUCCAACAAAGUCUUUAGAAUGUUUGCAUAAUUUACCCACUAUCAAAAAAGUAAGAUUAGUUGAAAACUUCUUAUUCUAUUAGUAGUAAUAUUAAAAAAACAUUUGUACUUAAUUUUCAGGUACCUUGUGAAGUACAAUACUCAACUACCUAGCAGUGCAUCAGUA